AUUGAACGCUGGCGGCAUGCUUUACACGUGCAAGUCGAACGGUAACAGGCCUUCGGGUGCUGACGAGUGGCGCACGGGUGAGUAAUGCAUCGGAACGUGCCCAGAGGUGGGGGAUAACGCAGCGAAAGCUGUGCUAAUACCGCAUGUGAUCUGAGGAUGAAAGCGGGGGACCAAGCAGCAAUGUUUGGCCUCGCGCCUCUGGAGCGGCCGAUGUCAGAUUAGGUAGUUGGUGGGGUAAAGGCCUACCAAGCCGACGAUCUGUAGCUGGUCUGAGAGGACGACCAGCCACACUGGGACUGAGACACGGCCCAGACUCCUACGGGAGGCAGCAGUGGGGAAUUUUGGACAAUGGGCGCAAGCCUGAUCCAGCAAUGCCGCGUGCGGGAAGAAGGCCUUCGGGUUGUAAACCGCUUUUGUACGGAACGAAAAGGCUCUGGCUAAUACCUGGGGCUGAUGACGGUACCGUAAGAAUAAGCACCGGCUAACUACGUG
rnacentral:rRNA from 1 species